rnacentral:lncRNA from 1 species
UCUUAAUACCUGUAUCGUGUUUCUACCUUGCAAGAGGUCUAAGAGAUAGGAAACAGGGAGAGUUAAAGAAAUCUGUUCCCAACAUAUGUUAAGUGGGAGAUAGAGGUAGCUUGUGAAACCUUAUCCAGGGUAAUUUUUUGCAGAACCCAAAUGACCCUACACUUGAAAAUAGAACUUUCUCAGACAAUUCAACUACUUAGAAAUUGCUCUUUUUCCUUGUUCCACUAAUCAGAAAUCUUAAGAAUAUUAUUUUUUCUCCUAUUCGUUCCAAAACCAAAGCACAAGUAUUCAAGUUAAUUGGGCCUAUGGCUGUAGCCUGACUAAAUCAAAAGAUUUAUGUAAAGUUGGAAGGAACCAGAGAUCAUCUAGUUCAAUGUUAAUUCCAGGUUUUUGACUAUUCCCUUAGCAGUAAAACAUUUUUGACCAUCUGCCACUAAUAUAUAUGUUUAUUUAUUAAAGUGACACAUAAGUAUUAACGUACUAAUAGUUGUAUAAGAGGUGCACAAAAAUAGAAGCCAAAUGAGAUAAAAGUAUUUAAUACAAAAAAAUUUUUGCUUUCACCAAUUAUAGUUUUACAUGAAAGCACUAUGGACAAUAUACUUCGUUGUAGGAAAUCUUGGUGGUUUAACCCUAGGAUAGAAUAAUUUAAAGGUCUAGUUCUAAGUUUGACCUAUUCUGAUUUUUAGUUUUAAUAGCUAUCAUUUUUUGGGAAAAAAUACAGACAUACAUAGAUCCAAAUGGAAGAAACACAUUCAUUGCUGCUGUAGCUACCAAAUCAUUUUGAGCCCAAUCCAAUUAUACUAAGGUUUUUGGUAAAACUUGGGUUACUGAAUCCCUCAUCUUGUCCUAUGUCCAUCUUUGUGUUUUUAUAUUUUAACAAAAGAGCUCAAAACUCAAAACUCUUCAUCUAAAAGACUGAAAUAGCUUAUAAAAUUCUUUGAGGCUUUUCAUGUUCAGAGUUUUUGUAGGCAACAUGCUUUUACAUUAUUAACAAAAGUGUAGUUUUACAACAUCUUGCUAAUUAUGAGAACUUCAUAGUAUUAGUAAAUAUCUAAUGAUAUGGUAUGUGCUUAGUCAUAAUUGUUAAUGAUAAUGGAUAUAAAUCCAUUUUUCAAAUCUUGUUAAUUUUG